AUGGCCCCCAUUAUCGCAAUUAUUACCCCUUUAUCGCGAUUAUCGCCCCAAUUAUCGCGAUUAUUGCCCCUUUAUCGCGAUUAUUGCCCCCAUUAUUGCAAUUAUUACCCCUUUAUCGAGACUAUCGCCCCAUUAUCGCGACUAUCACCCCCAUUAUCCCAAUUAUCGCCCCAUUAUCGCGACUAUCGCCCCCAUUAUCGCCAUUAUUGCCCCCAUUAUCGCAAUUAUUGCCCCUAUAUCAGAACUAUCACCCCCAUUAUCCCAAUUAUUGCCCCUUUAUCGCGACUAUCGCCCCCAUUAUCGCAUUUAUUGCCCCUUUAUCGCGACUAUCGCCCCCAUUAUCGCCAUUAUUGCCCCCAUUAUCGCAAUUAUUGCCCCUUUAUCGCGACUAUUGCCCCCAUUAUCGCCAUUAUCGCCCCUUUAUCACGACUUUCACCCCCAUUAUCACAACUAUUGCCCCUAUUAUCGCGAUUAUCGCCCCAUUAUCACGACUAUCGCCCCCAUUAUCGCGACUAUCGCCCCCAUUAUCGCCAUUAUUGCCCCCAUUAUUGCAAUUAUUGCCCCUUUAUCGUGACUAUCGCCCCCAUUAUCGCCAUUAUCGCCCCUUUAUUGCAAUUAUUGCCCCCAUUAUCGCCAUUAUCGCCCCUUUAUCAUGACUAUCGCCCCCAUUAUUGCGAUUAUCGCCCCGUUAUCGUGAUUAUCACCCCAUUAUCGCGACUAUCGCCCCCAUUAUCGCGACUAUCCCCCCCCCCCACCUGUCCUGCAGGGGAAGGGCGUGGAGGACACCUAUUGGCUGGUGGGACGCGAGGGGUUCACCAAACCCAUCCCAACCCCCCCCGAUCUGCUGCCGGGGGCCAGCAAUCACGGCAUCAGCCUGGAUGAGAUCCCGGCAGAGAGACGCCGGAAGUUGGAGAAGGCGCGACCGGGGCAGGUCCUUAAAUAGCCUCGGGGGAGGGGCCAGGUGAGGCCACGCCCCUUCCGUUUUACGUCACACCCCCAACCCCCCCCCGCCCUCACCGGUGUUAACCCAUCAACCGCCACCCCCAAUUG
rnacentral:lncRNA from 7 species